CGCUCUGGUGGCGUAGUGGUUAAAGUGUCUGCCUCGGAUGCGGGAGGUCGUGGGUACGAUCUCCAACCGAGUGA